UACGUAGGGGGCAAGCGUUAUCCGGAUUUACUGGGUGUAAAGGGAGCGUAGACGGCCGUGCAAGCCAGGAGUGAAAGCCCGGGGCACAACCCCGGGACUGCUCUUGGAACUGUGCGGCUGGAGUGCGGGAGGGGCAGGCGGAAUUCCUGGUGUAGCGGUGAAAUGCAUAGAUAUCGCGCAGAACUCCGAUUGCGAAGGCAGCAUGCCGGCUCCACACUGACGCUGAGGCACGAAAGCGUGGGUAUCGAACAGG
rnacentral:rRNA from 1 species